rnacentral:rRNA from 1 species
CCUACGGGUGGCAGCAGUGGGGGAUAUUGCACAAUGGGGGGAACCCUGAUGCAGCGACGCCGCGUGGGUGAAGGAGUGUUUCGGCGCGUAAAGCCCUAUCAGCAGGGAAGAAGAUGACGGUACCUGGCCAAGAAGCCCCGGCUAACUACGUGCCAGCAGCCGCGGUAAUACGUAGGGGGCAAGCGUUAUCCGGAUUUACUGGGUGUAAAGGGGGCGCAGACGGCAAUGCAAGCCUGGAGUGAAAGCCCGGGGCGCAACCCCGGGACUGCUUUUGAAACUGUAUGGCUGGAGUACAGGAGGGGUAAGCGGAAUUCCUAGUGUAGCGGUGAAAUGCGUAGAUAUUAGGAGGAACACCGGUGGCGAAGGCGGCUUGCUGGACUGUGACUGACGUUGAGGCUCGAAGGCGUGGGGAGCAAACAGGAUUAGAUACCCGUGUAGUC